UACGAAGGGGGCUAGCGUUGUUCGGAUUUACUGGGCGUAAAGCGCACGUAGGCGGAUUGUUAAGUCAGGGGUGAAAUCCUGGAGCUCAACUCCAGAAUUGCCUUUGAUACUGGCUUUCUAGAGGCUGGAAGAGGUUAGUGGAAUUCCCAGUGUAGAGGUGAAAUUCGUAGAUAUUGGGAAGAACACCAGUGGCGAAGGCGGCUAACUGGUCCAGAUCUGACGCUGAGGUGCGAAAGCGUGGGGAGCAAAC
rnacentral:rRNA from 1 species